ACAAAUAUAAACACAAUAAACAAAAUAUCAUAAGGGAGGAAGAGAACUGAAAUUACCUUGAAUUUGGAUGAUUUCGUCGGCAUAGUGAAAUCUGGAAUCGUAGGAGAUCCUAAAUUAAGUAUAUGGUUCUGAUCACACUAAUAAGAAGAUAGACAAAAAUAAAAUAAGAAAAAUAUAUAAAAAUAGAAAAAAACAGACAAAAC
rnacentral:lncRNA from 1 species